rnacentral:rRNA from 1 species
ACGGAGGGUGCGAGCGUUAAUCGGAAUUACUGGGCGUAAAGCGCGCGUAGGCGGCUUUGUAAGUCAGGGGUGAAAGCCCACGGCUCAACCGUGGCAUUGCCUUUGAUACUGCAGAGCUUGAGUUCGGGAGAGGGUGGUGGAAUUCCAGGUGUAGGAGUGAAAUCCGGAGAGCUCUGGAGGAACACCAGUGGCGAAGGCGGCCACCCGGGCCGGUUCCGACGGUGAGGUGCGAAAGCGUGGGGAGCAAACAG